GACGAACGCUGGCGGCGUGCUUAACACAUGCGAGUCGAACGAAGAGCGAUGGAAGCUUGCUUCUAUCAAUCUUAGUGGCGAACGGGUGAGUAACGCGUAAUCAACCUGCCCUUCAGAGGGGGACAACAGUUGGAAACGACUGCUAAUACCGCAUACGAUCUGACCUCGGCAUCGAGGAUAGAUGAAAGGUGGCCUCUAUUUAUAAGCUAUCACUGAAGGAGGGGAUUGCGUCUGAUUAGCUAGUUGGAGGGGUAACGGCCCACCAAGGCGAUGAUCAGUAGCCGGUCUGAGAGGAUGAACGGCCACAUUGGGACUGAGACACGGCCCAGACUCCUACGGGAGGCAGCAGUGGGGAAUCUUCCGCAAUGGACGAAAGUCUGACGGAGCAACGCCGCGUGAGUGAUGACGGCCUUCGGGUUGUAAAGCUCUGUUAAUCGGGACGAAAGGCCUUCUUGCGAAUAGUUAGAAGGAUUGACGGUACCGGAAUAGAAAGCCACGGCUAACUACGUG
rnacentral:rRNA from 1 species